rnacentral:rRNA from 1 species
UACGGAGGGAGCUAGCGUUGUUCGGAAUUACUGGGCGUAAAGCGCACGUAGGCGGCUUUGUAAGUUAGAGGUGAAAGCCCGGAGCUCAACUCCGGAACUGCCUUUAAGACUGCAUCGCUUGAAUCCAGGAGAGGUGAGUGGAAUUCCGAGUGUAGAGGUGAAAUGCGCAGAUAUCAGGAGGAACACCGAUGGCGAAGGCAGCUCGCUGGGACGGUACUGACGCUGAGGCGCGAAAGCGUGGGGAGCAAACAGG